AUUGAACGCUGGCGGCAUGCCUUACACAUGCAAGUCGAACGGCAGCACGGGAGCAAUCCUGGUGGCGAGUGGCGAACGGGUGAGUAAAGUAUCGGAACGUGCCCAGUCGUGGGGGAUAACGUAGCGAAAGUUACGCUAAUACCGCAUACGAUCUAUGGAUGAAAGCGGGGGAUCGCAAGACCUCGCGCGAUUGGAGCGGCCGAUAUCAGAUUAGGUAGUUGGUGGGGUAAAGGCUCACCAAGCCGACGAUCUGUAGCUGGUCUGAGAGGACGGCAGGCCAGACUGGGACUGAGACACAGCCCAGACUCCUACGGGAGGCAGCAGUGGGGAAUUUUGGACAAUGGGCGAAAGCCUGAGCCAGCCAUGCCGCGUGCAGGAUGAAGGCCUUCGGGUUGUAAACUGCUUUUGUACGGAACGAAAAGGUUUGGCCUAAUAGCUGAGCUCAUGACGGUACCGUAAGAAUAAGCACCGGCUAACUACGUGCCAGCCGCCGCGGUAA
rnacentral:rRNA from 1 species